rfam:Dyadobacter psychrophilus strain DSM 22270 genome assembly, contig: LX75DRAFT_scaffold00001.1
CUUAAACUUUAGGGGUGUCCCGAUAUGCGGACUGAGAUAAUACCCUUUGAACCUGAUGCAGUUAGUACUGCCGAAGGGAAAAGUAAGAGAUACUGC